AUUGAACGCUGGCGGCAGGCUUAACACAUGCAAGUCGAGCGGAGUGAUGGUGAUUGCACUAUCACUUAGCGGCGGACGGGUGAGUAAUGCUUAGGAAUCUGCCUAUUAGUGGGGGACAACAUCUCGAAAGGGAUGCUAAUACCGCAUACGUCCUACGGGAGAAAGCAGGGGAUCACUUGUGACCUUGCGCUAAUAGAUGAGCCUAAGUCGGAUUAGCUAGUUGGUGGGGUAAAGGCCCACAAAGGCGACGAUCUGUAGCGGGUCUGAGAGGAUGAGCCGCCACACUGGGACUGAGACACGGCCCAGACUCCUACGGGAGGCAGCAGUGGGGAAUAUUGGACAAUGGGGGGAACCCUGAUCCAGCCAUGCCGCGUGUGUGAAGAAGGCCUUAUGGUUGUAAAGCACUUUAAGCGAGGAGGAGGCUCUUUUGGUUAAUACCCAAGAUGAGUGGACGUUACUCGCAGAAUAAGCACCGGCUAACUCUGUGCCAGCCGCCGCAGUAAAAC
rnacentral:rRNA from 1 species